AAGCACAAUGAGGUUUCCUAACAAACUAAAACAUGUUUGCUUCAGGGGACGCAUGACGCUGAGAAGAAGAAUGAAUCUGUGUUGUUGAUGUUUGUAUUGACAUUUUAACAACUUAGUAUUGUACUUAUUUCUGUGUUAUUCUUCCUUCUUACAGAAGGCCAUGUAUUAACUCUGAUGAAAUAUUUUGCUCUAAUAAUCUGUUAAACUUGAUCCAGUUCUGACCAGAACCUUUUGCUUCUGAUGUGGGGCUGUAAAGCCCAUUCACAUGUUUCAGAAACAUGGACUUAGUGUUAUUUAAAUGUAUUUAACAUUAAUGCUAGCUGGUAGUUGCUACGCUAGUUGAUUCAGGGGUUUAUUGAGAAAGUAAUUUAUGGAGCAUCUUUAUGUAGCUGUUAGCAUAACAAAGUCUAAAAAGACUUUCUGCUGAGAUCAGGUAUGGCUUUUAGAAGGAGUCUGAUUAGAAUAUUUUGCAAACU